UGGGGAAUCUUGGACAAUGGGCGAAAGCCUGAUCCAGCAAUGCCGCGUGGGUGAAGAAGGCCUUCGGGUUGUAAAGCCCUUUUGUACGGGAGCAAAUCCUUGUCACUAAUACUGGCUGGGGAUGAGAGUACCGUAAGAAUCAGCACCGGCUAACUACGUGCCAGCAGCCGCGGUAAUACGUAGGGUGCAAGCGUUAAUCGGAAUUACUGGGCGUAAAGCGUGCGCAGGUGGUUUUGUAAGACCGACGUGAAAGCCCCGGGCUCAACCUGGGAACUGCGUUGGUGACUGCAAGACUAGAGUGUGGCAGAGGGGGGUGGAAUUCCGCGUGUAGCAGUGAAAUGCGUAGAGAUGCGGAGGAACACCGAUGGCGAAGGCAGCCCCCUGGGCUAACACUGACACU
rnacentral:rRNA from 1 species